rnacentral:lncRNA from 1 species
CGCAAUACUGUUUUCUUAAUUGUACUUGUUUUAGCUCUUCAAUAUUACAAGAUGCAAAGAGGUAGGAUUAAGUGUAAAAGACUGUGCUGUGCUUUUCCCAUCCAAAAAUGGAGAACUUGGCCAGGGAUUUAGCUCAGUGGUUGCGGCGCCUGCCUCACAAGCGCAAGGACCAGACUUCGAGCCACACGGUAUCAAAAAAAAAAAAAGGAGAACUACUGAAGACAAAGAUUGUGCCUGCCUCUUCUACCUGCCUGUCUGCUGUCAGAGAAGGAAAACAAUUUAGAUUUAAAACUUUUCAGAAAAGAGAGAGACCUGGGCAGCUGAGCACCAGCUGCUGACUUGGAGAACAGCCUGAGGAUAUUAAAAGCUGAGGCAAAGUACUGGAUGGAACGUGACAUAAGGGUUUCAGGUCCACAAGAGGACGCCUAUCACCCCCACACACAUGGCUAUAAGACAUCCUAAAAGAAAAGAGCAAUCCCAAGAAAAGGAGCCCCCUCUGAGGGUGUGUAAAGGACUCAUCUAUUCAGAGCUGCCUGCCCUUGGAAUAAAAGAUCUGAAACCUCAAGAUUGCACAACAGAAUCCCACAGAGCAUUUAGGGUUUGGUCUCCUACAGCUCCUUGGCUAUGAAUUCCAACUGCAAGGGAGUGGUGCACAGACACACUUUUAAUGGAGUUGUGUUACUAAGUUGGGGCAAAUCAUACUCUCUGAGCCUUCCCCGCACCGUAAUAAUAAGCAUUUUAGGAGCUCUAGGUAAUAGUAUGUGCUUGAGCAUUGUUCCUAACACAGUUUGUUUCCUUCUUUCCUUUCUUUAUUGAGCACCU